GACGGAAGUUUUCGGAUGGAAGCCUGUAAUUCUUAGUGGCGGACGGGUGAGUAACGCGUGGGCAACCUGCCCUAUACAGGGGGAUAGCAGCUGGAAACGGCUGGUAAGACCGCAUAAGUCGGUUAAAUCGCAUGAUUUGACCGGGAAAUGAGCAAUCAGGUAUAGGAUGGGCCUGCGUCCGAUUAGCCAGUUGGCAGGGUAAAAGCCUACCAAAGCGACGAUCGGUAGCCGGACUGAGAGGUCGGACGGCCACAUUGGGACUGAGACACGGCCCAAACUCCUACGGGAGGCAGCAGUGGGGGAUAUUGCACAAUGGAGGAAACUCUGAUGCAGCGACGCCGCGUGAGUGAAGAAGUAUUUCGGUAUGUAAAGCUCUAUCAGCAGGGAAGAUGAUGACGUACCUGACUAAGAGCCCC
rnacentral:rRNA from 1 species